AGUCAUGGCUCAGAACGAACGCUGGCGGCAGGCCUAACACAUGCAAGUCGAGCGCUCACUUCGGUGGGAGCGGCGGACGGGUUAGUAACGCGUGGGAAUAUACCCAGUUCUAAGGAAUAGCCUCGGGAAACUGAGAGUAAUACCUUAUACGCCCUUCGGGGGAAAGAUUUAUCGGAAUUGGAUUAGCCCGCGUUAGAUUAGAUAGUUGGUGGGGUAAUGGCCUACCAAGUCGACGAUCUAUAGCUGGUUUGAGAGGAUGAUCAGCAACACUGGGACUGAGACACGGCCCAGACUCCUACGGGAGGCAGCAGUGGGGAAUCUUAGACAAUGGGCGCAAGCCUGAUCUAGCCAUGCCGCGUGAGUGAUGAAGGCCUUAGGGUCGUAAAGCUCUUUCGCCAGGGAUGAUAAUGACAGUACCUGGUAAAGAAACCCCGGCUAACUCCGUGCCAGCAGCCGCGGUAAUACGGAGGGGGUUAGCGUUGUUCGGAAUUACUG
rnacentral:rRNA from 1 species